UACGUAGGCAGCAAGCGUUGUUCGGAAUCACUGGGCGUAAAGGGUGUGUAGGCGGUUCUCUAAGUCUGGUGUGAAAUCUCCCGGCUCAACUGGGAGGGUGCGCCGGAAACUGGAGAGCUAGAGUACUGGAUGGGAGAGUGGAAUUCCUGGUGUAGCGGUGAAAUGCGUAGAUAUCAGGAGGAACACCUGUGGUGUAGACGGCUCUCUGGACAGUAACUGACGCUGAGGCGCGAAAGCCAGGGGAGCAAACGGG
rnacentral:rRNA from 1 species